rnacentral:misc_RNA from 1 species
UACGUAGGGUCCAAGCGUUAUCCGGAUUUACUGGGCGUAAAGCGUUCGUAGGUGGAUUGGUAAGUGGUGGGUUAAAGACCGGAGCUCAACUCCGGGUCAGCUCGUCAUACUGCUAGUCUAGAGUGUGUUCGGGGAGGUUGGAAUUCUCGGUGGAGGGGUGAAAUCCGUUGAUAUCGAGAGGAACGCCAAGGGUGAAGACAGGCCUCUGGGGCACUACUGACACUGAGGGACGAAAGCUAGGGUAGCAAAGCGG